rnacentral:snoRNA from 1 species
AAACCAUGGUGAGGACAACUUCUCAAUAAAUCCUUAUACCUCUCUCAUGAAUCAUAUAAAGUCUCUAGAUCCAUUUGCAUGAAGGAAGAGAUAUCAUUCCUAAGCUU